rnacentral:rRNA from 1 species
GUCUAAUCUGCCCACUGAUAAUAUAUUAAAGGGCUGCAGUAAUUUGACUGUACAAAGGUAGCAUAAUCAUUAGUCUUUUAAUUGAAGACUUGUAUGAAAGAUUUGAUGAAAUAUAAACUGUCUCUAAUUUAUAAUUAGAAUUUAAUUUUUUAGUUAAAAAGCUGAAAUAAUUUUAAAAGACGAGAAGACCCUAUAGAGUUUUAUAAUUUUUUUUUUUUGAUAUUUAUAUAAAAUUUUAAUAUUAAAAAUUACAAAUUAUUUUAUUGGGGNGAUAAAAAAAUUAAAAAAACUUUUUUUUUUUUUUACAUUAAUAAAUGAGUAGUUGAUCCUGAAUAAAGAUUAUAAGAAAAAAUUACCUUAGGGAUAACAGCGUAAUAUUUUUUUUUAGUACAAAUAAAAAAAAAAGUUUGCGACCUCGAUGUUGGAUUAAGAUAAAAUUUAAAUGCAAAAGUUUAAAAUUUG